rnacentral:rRNA from 1 species
UACGUAGGGUGCAAGCGUUGUCCGGAAUUAUUGGGCGUAAAGAGCUCGUAGGCGGUUUGUCGCGUCGUUCGUGAAAACUCACAGCUCAACUGUGAGCUUGCGGUCGAUACGGGCAGGCUAGAGUUCGGUAGGGGAGACUGGAAUUCCUGGUGUAGCGGUGAAAUGCGCAGAUAUCAGGAGGAACACCGGUGGCGAAGGCGGGUCUCUGGGCCGAUACUGACGCUGAGGAGCGAAAGCGUGGGGAGCGAACAGG